rnacentral:rRNA from 1 species
GGGUUGUGAGGUUAAGCGACUAAGCGUACACGGUGGAUGCCCUGGCAGUCAGAGGCGAUGAAGGACGUGCUAAUCUGCGAUAAGCGUCGGUAAGGUGAUAUGAACCGUUAUAACCGGCGAUUUCCGAAUGGGGAAACCCAGUGUGAUUCGUCACACUAUCAUUAACUGAAUCCAUAGGUUAAUGAGGCGAACCGGGGGAACUGAAACAUCUAAGUACCCCGAGGAAAAGAAAUCAACCGAGAUUCCCCCAGUAGCGGCGAGCGAACGGGGAGCAGCCCAGAGCCUGAAUCAGUGUGUGUGUUAGUGGAAGCGUCUGGAAAGGCGCGCGAUACAGGGUGACAGCCCCGUACACAAAAAUGCACAUGCUGUGAGCUCGAUGAGUAGGGCGGGACACGUGGUAUCCUGUCUGAAUAUGGGGGGACCAUCCUCCAAGGCUAAAUACUCCUGACUGACCGAUAGUGAACCAGUACCGUGAGGGAAAGGCGAAAAGAACCCCGGCGAGGGGAGUGAAAAAGAACCUGAAACCGUGUACGUACAAGCAGUGGGAGCACAGAGCAAUCUGUGUGACUGCGUACCUUUUGUAUAAUGGGUCAGCGACUUAUAUUCUGUAGCAAGGUUAACCGAAUAGGGGAGCCGAAGGGAAACCGAGUCUUAACUGGGCGUUAAGUUGCAGGGUAUAGACCCGAAACCCGGUGAUCUAGCCAUGGGCAGGUUGAAGGUUGGGUAACACUAACUGGAGGACCGAACCGACUAAUGUUGAAAAAUUAGCGGAUGACUUGUGGCUGGGGGUGAAAGGCCAAUCAAACCGGGAGAUAGCUGGUUCUCCCCGAAAGCUAUUUAGGUAGCGCCUCGUGAAUUCAUCUCCGGGGGUAGAGCACUGUUUCGGCAAGGGGGUCAUCCCGACUUACCAACCCGAUGCAAACUGCGAAUACCGGAGAAUGUUAUCACGGGAGACACACGGCGGGUGCUAACGUCCGUCGUGAAGAGGGAAACAACCCAGACCGCCAGCUAAGGUCCCAAAGUCAUGGUUAAGUGGGAAACGAUGUGGGAAGGCCCAGACAGCCAGGAUGUUGGCUUAGAAGCAGCCAUCAUUUAAAGAAAGCGUAAUAGCUCACUGGUCGAGUCGGCCUGCGCGGAAGAUGUAACGGGGCUAAACCAUGCACCGAAGCUGCGGCAGCGACGCUUAUGCGUUGUUGGGUAGGGGAGCGUUCUGUAAGCCUGCGAAGGUGUGCUGUGAGGCAUGCUGGAGGUAUCAGAAGUGCGAAUGCUGACAUAAGUAACGAUAAAGCGGGUGAAAAGCCCGCUCGCCGGAAGACCAAGGGUUCCUGUCCAACGUUAAUCGGGGCAGGGUGAGUCGACCCCUAAGGCGAGGCCGAAAGGCGUAGUCGAUGGGAAACAGGUUAAUAUUCCUGUACUUGGUGUUACUGCGAAGGGGGGACGGAGAAGGCUAUGUUGGCCGGGCGACGGUUGUCCCGGUUUAAGCGUGUAGGCUGGUUUUCCAGGCAAAUCCGGAAAAUCAAGGCUGAGGCGUGAUGAUGAGGCACUACGGUGCUGAAGCAACAAAUGCCCUGCUUCCAGGAAAAGCCUCUAAGCAUCAGGUAACAUCAAAUCGUACCCCAAACCGACACAGGUGGUCAGGUAGAGAAUACCAAGGCGCUUGAGAGAACUCGGGUGAAGGAACUAGGCAAAAUGGUGCCGUAACUUCGGGAGAAGGCACGCUGAUAUGUAGGUGAAGUCCCUCGCGGAUGGAGCUGAAAUCAGUCGAAGAUACCAGCUGGCUGCAACUGUUUAUUAAAAACACAGCACUGUGCAAACACGAAAGUGGACGUAUACGGUGUGACGCCUGCCCGGUGCCGGAAGGUUAAUUGAUGGGGUCAGCGCAAGCGAAGCUCUUGAUCGAAGCCCCGGUAAACGGCGGCCGUAACUAUAACGGUCCUAAGGUAGCGAAAUUCCUUGUCGGGUAAGUUCCGACCUGCACGAAUGGCGUAAUGAUGGCCAGGCUGUCUCCACCCGAGACUCAGUGAAAUUGAACUCGCUGUGAAGAUGCAGUGUACCCGCGGCAAGACGGAAAGACCCCGUGAACCUUUACUAUAGCUUGACACUGAACAUUGAGCCUUGAUGUGUAGGAUAGGUGGGAGGCUUUGAAGUGUGGACGCCAGUCUGCAUGGAGCCGACCUUGAAAUACCACCCUUUAAUGUUUGAUGUUCUAACGUUGACCCGUGAUCCGGGUUGCGGACAGUGUCUGGUGGGUAGUUUGACUGGGGCGGUCUCCUCCUAAAGAGUAACGGAGGAGCACGAAGGUUGGCUAAUCCUGGUCGGACAUCAGGAGGUUAGUGCAAUGGCAUAAGCCAGCUUGACUGCGAGCGUGACGGCGCGAGCAGGUGCGAAAGCAGGUCAUAGUGAUCCGGUGGUUCUGAAUGGAAGGGCCAUCGCUCAACGGAUAAAAGGUACUCCGGGGAUAACAGGCUGAUACCGCCCAAGAGUUCAUAUCGACGGCGGUGUUUGGCACCUCGAUGUCGGCUCAUCACAUCCUGGGGCUGAAGUAGGUCCCAAGGGUAUGGCUGUUCGCCAUUUAAAGUGGUACGCGAGCUGGGUUUAGAACGUCGUGAGACAGUUCGGUCCCUAUCUGCCGUGGGCGCUGGAGAACUGAGGGGGGCUGCUCCUAGUACGAGAGGACCGGAGUGGACGCAUCACUGGUGUUCGGGUUGUCAUGCCAAUGGCACUGCCCGGUAGCUAAAUGCGGAAGAGAUAAGUGCUGAAAGCAUCUAAGCACGAAACUUGCCCCGAGAUGAGUUCUCCCUGACUCCUUGAGAGUCCUGAAGGAACGUUGAAGACGACGACGUUGAUAGGCCGGGUGUGUAAGCGCAGCGAUGCGUUGAGCUAACCGGUACUAAUGAACCGUGAGGCUUAACCUUACAACGCCGAAGGUGUUU